AGACCCGAAACCCGGUGAUCUAGCCAUGGGCAGGUUGAAGGUUGGGUAACACUAACUGGAGGACCGAACCGACUAAUGUUGAAAAAUUAGCGGAUGACCUGUGGCUGGGGGUGAAAGGCCAAUCAAACCGGGAGAUAGCUGGUUCUCCCCGAAAGCUAUUUAGGUAGCGCCUCGUGAAUUCAUCUCCGGGGGUAGAGCACUGUUUCGGCUAGGGGGCCAUCCCGGCUUACCAACCCGAUGCAAACUGCGAAUACCGGAGAAUGUUAUCACGGGAGACACACGGCGGGUGCUAACGUCCGUCGUGAAGAGGGAAACAACCCAGACCGCCAGCUAAGGUCCCAAAGUCAUGGUUAAGUGGGAAACGAUGUGGGAAGGCCCAGACAGCCAGGAUGUUGGCUUAGAAGCAGCCAUCAUUUAAAGAAAGCGUAAUAGCUCACUGGUCGAGUCGGCCUGCGCGGAAGAUGUAACGGGGCUAAACCAUGCACCGAAGCUGCGGCAGCGACACUGUGUGUUGUUGGGUAGGGGAGCGUUCUGUAAGCCUGCGAAGGUGGCCUGUGAGGGUUGCUGGAGGUAUCAGAAGUGCGAAUGCUGACAUAAGUAACGAUAAAGCGGGUGAAAAGCCCGCUCGCCGGAAGACCAAGGGUUCCUGUCCAACGUUAAUCGGGGCAGGGUGAGUCGACCCCUAAGGCGAGGCCGAAAGGCGUAGUCGAUGGGAAACGGGUUAAUAUUCCCGUACUUGGUGUUACUGCGAAGGGGGGACGGAGAAGGCUAUGUUGGCCGGGCGACGGUUGUCCCGGUUUAAGCGUGUAGGUGUGUGUUCCAGGUAAAUCCGGUUCACUUUAACACUGAGGCGUGACGACGAGGCACUACGGUGCUGAAGCAACAAAUGCCCUGCUUCCAGGAAAAGCCUCUAAGCAUCAGGUAACAUCAAAUCGUACCCCAAACCGACACAGGUGGUCAGGUAGAGAAUACCAAGGCGCUUGAGAGAACUCGGGUGAAGGAACUAGGCAAAAUGGUGCCGUAACUUCGGGAGAAGGCACGCUGACACGUAGGUGAAGUGAUUUACUCAUGGAGCUGAAGUCAGUCGAAGAUACCAGCUGGCUGCAACUGUUUAUUAAAAACACAGCACUGUGCAAACACGAAAGUGGACGUAUACGGUGUGACGCCUGCCCGGUGCCGGAAGGUUAAUUGAUGGGGUCAGCGCAAGCGAAGCUCCUGAUCGAAGCCCCGGUAAACGGCGGCCGUAACUAUAACGGUCCUAAGGUAGCGAAAUUCCUUGUCGGGUAAGUUCCGACCUGCACGAAUGGCGUAAUGAUGGCCAGGCUGUCUCCACCCGAGACUCAGUGAAAUUGAACUCGCUGUGAAGAUGCAGUGUACCCGCGGCAAGACGGAAAGACCCCGUGAACCUUUACUAUAGCUUGACACUGAACAUUGAGCCUUGAUGUGUAGGAUAGGUGGGAGGCUUUGAAGUGUGGACGCCAGUCUGCAUGGAGCCGACCUUGAAAUACCACCCUUUAAUGUUUGAUGUUCUAACGUGGACCCGUUACCCGGGUUGCGGACAGUGUCUGGUGGGUAGUUUGACUGGGGCGGUCUCCUCCUAAAGAGUAACGGAGGAGCACGAAGGUUGGCUAAUCCUGGUCGGACAUCAGGAGGUUAGUGCAAUGGCAUAAGCCAGCUUGACUGCGAGCGUGACGGCGCGAGCAGGUGCGAAAGCAGGUCAUAGUGAUCCGGUGGUUCUGAAUGGAAGGGCCAUCGCUCAACGGAUAAAAGGUACUCCGGGGAUAACAGGCUGAUACCGCCCAAGAGUUCAUAUCGACGGCGGUGUUUGGCACCUCGAUGUCGGCUCAUCACAUCCUGGGGCUGAAGUAGGUCCCAAGGGUAUGGCUGUUCGCCAUUUAAAGUGGUACGCGAGCUGGGUUUAGAACGUCGUGAGACAGUUCGGUCCCUAUCUGCCGUGGGCGCUGGAGAACUGAGGGGGGCUGCUCCUAGUACGAGAGGACCGGAGUGGACGCAUCACUGGUGUUCGGGUUGUCAUGCCAAUGGCACUGCCCGGUAGCUAAAUGCGGAAGAGAUAAGUGCUGAAAGCAUCUAAGCACGAAACUUGCCCCGAGAUGAGUUCUCCCUGAGACUUAAAGUCUCCUGA
rnacentral:rRNA from 1 species